UGUUGGUUCUCCCGCAACGCUACUCUGUUUACCAGGUCAGGUCCGGAAGGAAGCAGCCAAGGCAG
rnacentral:SRP_RNA from 1 species